GAUGAAUGCUGGCGGCGUGCCUAACACAUGCAAGUCGAGCGGCAGCGCGAGUAGUUUACUACUUGGCGGCGAGCGGCGGACGGCUGAGUAACGCGUGGGAACGUGCCCCAAAGGGAGGAAUAACUGCCCGAAAGGGUGGCUAAUGCCGCAUAUGAUCUUCGGAUUAAAGGAUUUAUCCGCUUUGGGAGCGGCCCGCGUCGGAUUAGGUUGUUGGUGAGGUAAUGGCUCACCAAGCCGACGAUCCGUAGCUGGUCUGAGGGGAUGAUCAGCCAGACUGGGACUGAGACACGGCCCAGACUCCUACGGGAGGCAGCAGUGAGGAAUCUUCCACAAUGGGCGAAAGCCUGAUGGAGCAACGCCGCGUGAAGGAUGAAGGCCCUCGGGUUGUAAACUUCUUUUAUAAGUGAAGAAUAUGACGGUAACUUAUGAAUAAGCACCGGCUAACUACGUGCCAGCCGCCGCAGUAA
rnacentral:rRNA from 1 species